rnacentral:tRNA from 1 species
GGGUAUAUAGCUCAGUGGUUGAGUGCAUGCCUAACAUGCAUGAGGUCCUGGGAUCAAUUUGCAGUACUUCCA